rnacentral:lncRNA from 1 species
AACCACACCAUAUAUCUCCAUGUACAUCGACAUCGAUGUCAGCGCUUUGAUAAGUUUGGCGGAGUCUGAUUCACAUCUCAGCCUUGAUAUCCCUGCAUCUUUGCAUCGUUGGAGAGCUGCACGAACCGUCAUGCCUUCUGCAACUAGCGAGGAUCCAACAAAAGUGGAAAAGGAGGCUGCUGUUGACGUCCUGCCCUCCAUCUUAAUCACCCAUCCUAGCCCUGCAUUUAGUGUGUCUGAGUUCCAAGCCGCAUCCGUUUGGAGUAGUGCGAUCCGUUCAGCAUUUUCUUCAGGUCUUGGUAAGCUUCGCUUUGUUGUUGACUCCUUAACUUGAUUGGUGGCCCAUUCACGGGCUGCAACCAUUGCUUUGGUUAGUGUUUCCUGUGGGGUUGCAGGUUUGUUGUUAAAGACCAAGUUGUUUCUUGCUAUCCAUAGGUGCCAGAAGAUCCAAGGGGUGAGUUGGGGUGAAGGGAUUCCCACCGGCGGUAAGGUGAUUAUAGUGCAGGUAUGACGCCACUCUUGUUCCAAAUCUAACAAUCCACUUGCCUCAACGCUUCUCAUAUAAGGAGCUAAACUCCAGACCUGUUGGGCAUAAGAGCAUUGAAAGAGAAGAUGAUAGCUAGAUUCGGGUUCUCCACACCUUUUACACCGAGGGUCAACUGGUAUGUUGCGAGCCGCCAGGUUAGUGCCUACUGAGAUUGCUCCCUUAAAAGUUUUCCAGAGAAACAGUUUUAUCUUUG